rnacentral:tRNA from 1 species
GGUCCGGUAGUUCAGUUGGUUAGAAUGCCUGCCUGUCACGCAGGAGGUCGCGAGUUCGAGUCUC